rnacentral:tRNA from 1 species
AUAGUGGUGGUUCAGUGGUAGAAUUCUCGCCUUCUAUGACACCAAUUUUAUGAGGGAGAUCCAGGUUCGAUUCCCGGCCACCGUA